UAGGGAAUCUUCGGCAAUGGGGGGAACCCUGACCGAGCAACGCCGCGUGAGUGAAGAAGGUUUUCGGAUCGUAAAGCUCUGUUGUUAAGGAAGAACGAGUGUGAGAAUGGAAAGUUCAUACUGUGACGGUACUUAACCAGAAAGGGACGGCUAACUACGUGCCAGCAGCCGCGGUAAUACGUAGGUCCCGAGCGUUGUCCGGAUUUAUUGGGCGUAAAGCGAGCGCAGGCGGUUAGAUAAGUCUGAAGUUAAAGGCAGUGGCUCAACCAUUGUAGGCUUUGGAAACUGUUUAACUUGAGUGCAGAAGGGGAGAGUGGAAUUCCAUGUGUAGCGGUGAAAUGCGUAGAUAUAUGGAGGAACACCGGUGGCGAAAGCGGCUCUCUGGUCUGUAACUGACGCUGAGGCUCGAAAGCGUGAGGAGCGAGCAGG
rnacentral:rRNA from 1 species